AAACCGGGAAGCUAAUACCGGAUAAUAUAUUGAACCGCAUGGUUCAAUAGUGAAAGAACGGUUUUGUCUGUCACUUAUAGAUGGAUCCGCGCUGCAUUAGCUAGUUGGUAAGGUAACGGCUUACCAAGGCAACGAUGCGUAGCCGACCUGAGAGGGUGAUCGGCCACACUGGAACUGAGACACGGUCCAGACUCCUACGGGAGGCAGCAGAC
rnacentral:rRNA from 1 species